ACUCACGUUCACUAGUCCCAGCCUGUGUUCUGUCGCCUGGAGAACAGUGAUGGGAGAUAAGAUACAGAAAUGCUUGGGGCCGGGGAGAACCGCGAACAGACGCAGUCUCCAGUUGCUAGCAUCAGGCAGAGGCCUGCACUAUUAUUGCACGAUUGGUCAGAGUCCUGUGUUUGGGAGCUCAAGGGCUGGCCAGCAAUCUCUGGCCUCCCUUCCGUUCCCAGGCAGUCAGUUUUCUGCCAGACACCCAUGGAGACUGGGAGGACCGUGAGCCACCUUUGCACAGCAUGCUUCUCCUAUAACCAGAGAUGCUAAACUUGCCUUCAUGGGGGUUCAGGGAGAACCUGGACUAGUAGGACCCAAGGAAUGCUCUCGUGUCCCCGAGAUCUCAAGGAGGCUUUGGCCGAGACCCUUUGCUUGGAUUUGUUGAGACCCACUGUGUGCAAACAUUGAGCUAGGCAUGGGAAACCACACAAGAAGUGACCCAGUAGGGAUGCUGGUUUAGAGGAAAUAGGGAUAAGGGAUUGGAUUAUCUCUCUGUUCAUCGAAUGGAUCCUGAUGUUCACUGUGCACUAUGGGAGGUCAGCAUGCAGAGACGCAUUCACUGAAGCAACAGCUGCUGCCCUUGGCACCUCAGGAAGUGGAAGAUUCUUGUAAGUUCCAGGAAGCCGAAUUGGACCCACUCAAACAGAUCUGAGAGGUGCCAGAGAGUUCCGUACAGCCUG
rnacentral:lncRNA from 1 species